CCUGAAUAUGCAUUUAGUUAGAAAAUGAGUAUUUUAAUGACUCAUUAAAACAUCAAUACUACAAUCUGCGCAGUUUUACUCCUGUUCAUGUUGAUUAAAAACAUAGAAAAAAACGUAAUAGAAAAAUAACUGACCCACUGACAUUUUACUUUGUGAAAUUGCUAGAAACAGUACCUAUGCAAAAGUAGCUGUGUAUAGUUAAAGUUUAGUGCUGAUGUUAACCCCCAGCACUGCAAAUGUAUAAAGUAUAGCGAUGUAGAUUUCGAAAAGCUAGCUAUUGCGAUGUCAAGUUAAGCGAUGUAGGAAUAAAUUUUAGCGCUGGAGAUAUGAAGUACAACAUUAUUGACUUUAUAGCUUCUGUGCAAAACUGCUUCUCAAACGUUAGACUAUUAAUCUCCAGCGCCAGAAAAAACACAGCUAUUCACUAUUAACUAUUCACUUUAGUACAACCAAAGGUCUCUUUAGAAGCUGCCUGUCAUAACUAUACAGACACGAAUAAAAUGACAGUUGAAAAAGAUAAGAUUAAAAUGACAGUUGAAAUGUCAAACAAUAUACGGCAAGUUUAUGAAUUUUGGCGGUUGUACAUUUGUAUGUAUAAUUGAUACUAAGCUAGUUGAAAAUUUCAAUCACCAGAAGAUCUCAACAUUGUUCCAGAAUAUCUCAACCGAUACCAGAAAAUCUCAACAUGAUCUACUUCAUAACAUAUUUAGCUUAAUUAAAUUAUAUUAGUAAAGAAAAGGAGC
rnacentral:lncRNA from 1 species